rnacentral:rRNA from 1 species
UACGGGGGGUGCGAGCGUUGUCCGGAAUCACUGGGCGUAAAGGGCGCGUAGGUGGCGACCCAAGUCAAUGGUGAAAGCUCGAUGCUCAACAUCGAGUCGGCCACUGAUACUGGGUUGCUCGAGCACUGUAGAGGCAGAUGGAAUUCCGGGUGUAGCGGUGGAAUGCGCAGAUAUCAGGAGGAACACCAGUGGCGAAGGCGGUUCUCUGGGCAUUACCUGACGCUGAGGAGCGAAAGUGUGGGGAGCGAACAGG